CCGCGGGGGAGCCCAAGGGGAGCCCGCCUGGACCCCCAGGCCCGUCUCGGCUCGGGGGUGCAGGACGCACAAACUCCGCUGAAUUUUGCCCCCGCUGAGCUCAGAGACACCUUGAAAACUCUGGUUAAGCGAGGUAAAACCUUGCCAGCAUUAAUGCCCUGCACUCGUAUGGAAUAUGAGCCGGAUAGAACAUGAGGAGUAUGGCAGCAAGGUCACAAAAAACAUCCCUCGUGCCACCCCAGCACCACCAGAGCCCUGAAGUGAUGCAGAGGGAAGAAGAGCAUCGGGCAGCAGCAUCGCCUGGGGCUCGUGGAGACGGAGGAGAGCAAAUUUCGGAGACAGUGUCAGGGCACAGCAGCUGUUACCCUGAGUUUGGUGGCUACAGGCUACAAAGGACCUGUCCAAAAACAAGCUCGUCACUGCCACUCGAUAAAAACACGAGGACUCGGUGUCCCUUGCCCUCUGUGUUGCGUAAAAAGUGAUGCUGGCCAGGCCAGCUAAACACACAGACUGGAAAAAUGUGAAUUUGUGAGCUCGGAGUGAGGGGAUUGAUCUGCCUUGGUCCCUACACUGCUGCAUUUCAUGCAUUUCAUGCAUUUCAUGCAUUUCAUGGCCAGAGGGUGAAAAGCGAGCGCUAGGGAAUAUUUUGGGAUGUGCUCAGUGGGUCUGAGCAUGCUCUGGUGUUCCCUCCCUCAGCUUGAUUUUUGCCAGGCAGAUUUAUGUUAAUGUAAAGGUAAAAAUGAAUUUGUGUUAAUGUAAAGGUAAAAAUUGUUUAUGUUGAUGUAAAUGUAAAAAUGAAUUUGUGUUAAUGUAAAGGUAAAAAUUGUUUAUGUUAAUGUAAACGUAAAAAUGAAUUUGUGUUAGUGUAAAGGUAAAAAUUAUUUAUGUAAAUGUAAAGAUGAAUUUGUGUUAAUGUAAGUGUAAAGAUUAUUUGUGUUAAUGUAAAUGUAAAAAUGAAUUUGUGUUAGUGUAAAUGUGAAAAUUAUUUAUGUUAAUAUAAAUGUAAAAAUGAAUUUGUGUUAAUGUAAGUGUAAAAAUUAGUUAUGUUAAUGUAAAUAUAAAAAUGAAUGCAGGUGAGGGCAGUUGUGAAGAUCCAUUCAUAGAGUUUUGGGCUCACUCAAUAAAUACUGAGAUAAUUCAGGA